rnacentral:lncRNA from 10 species
GGCAGGGGUAUGACAUGGCAAAAGAAAUUAUUCCAGCAGCAGCUGUCUGCAAGGCAGAUUGGAGCCGAGAGACUCGGGAAGUUACCACAGUUGUCCAGGCAUGAAGCAAAAAGGGAAAUUUUACGGACUUAACAUUUUAUACCCAUUGUCUUAUCUUCUCCAUGGAUUGCAAACCUUGUGCAAGACCAUGUAGCUAUUCUGCAGGAAAGCUGGGCCACAAACUGAAAUUUCCAGCACGCCAGAUUGAGUCAUUUGAAGACGAGAAAAAACACAGUGUUUCAUGAGGAAAUUCAGCUACUUCUUAAAAGAUCAGCAUAUCAAUCAAGUGUCACUAUGGCAUGCCUGGGUCCAUCAAGUGUCGUUAUUUGUCCCAGAAAAAGUUACUUCCUCCUUCCUGAGACCUAGCUGAGUUGUCACCUUCCUUGUUUGCGAAGAUUCCUGGGAACCCUUAAGGGGAAGACUCAAGAAAAAUAAAGAUACCCAGGGUAAUUCCAAACCAGACUUGA